UACGUAGGCAGCGAGCGUUGUUCGGAAUUACUGGGCGUAAAGAGUGUGUAGGCGGUGUUCCCAGUCUGUUGUGAAAUCUCCCGGCUUAACUGGGAGGGUGCAGCGGAAACUAGAAUGCUAGAGGGUGGGAGAGGUAAGCGGAAUUCCUGGUGUAGCGGUGAAAUGCGUAGAUAUUAGGAGGAACACCUGUGGUGUAGACAGCUUACUGGACCACUUCUGACGCUGAGACACGAAAGCGUGGGUAGCAAACAGG
rnacentral:rRNA from 1 species